ensembl:miRNA MIR4438 microRNA 4438
UAAGUGUAAACUUAAGGACUGUCUUUUCUAAGCCUGUGCCUUGCCUUUCCUUUGGCACAGGCUUAGAAAAGACAGUCUUUAAGUUUACACUUC